rnacentral:rRNA from 1 species
AGAGAAUUAGGGUUCGAUUCCGGAGAGGGAGCCUGAGAAACGGCUACCAGGUCUAAGGAUUGCAGCAGGCGCGCAAAUUACCCAAUCUCGACACGAGGAGGUAGUGACAAGAAAUAACAACGCCGGGCUUUUACAAGUCUGGUGAUUGGAAUGAGAACAAUCUAAAUCCCUUAUCGAAUGCAACUGGAGGGCAAGUCUGGUGCCAGCAGCCGCGGUAACACCAGCUCCAGUAGCGUAUAUUAAAGUUGUUGCAGUUAAAAAGCUCGUAGUUGGAUUUCUGGCACGGAUUAAGCCGAGCUGCGCUUUUCGGAGUGCGGAUUUGGUUUUCCUGGCCAUCCUUCGCAGAAACCAGUUUGGCUCUUUACUGAGUUUUGACUGGGUUCGCGAUCUAUUACUUUGAAAAAAUUAGAGUGUUCAAAGCAGGCUUAUGCUUCUGAAUACAUUAGCAUGGAAUAAUAAGAUAGGACUUCGGUCUUAUUUUGUUGGUUUUGAGGACUGAAGUAAUGAUUGAUAGGGAUCGUUGGGGGUGCUCGUAUUCAGCGGCCAGAGGUGAAAUUCGGUGAUUCGCUGAAGACGAACAAAUGCGAAAGCAUUCACCAAGGAGGUCUUCUUUAAUCAAGAACGAAAGUUAGGGGAUCGAAGACGAUUAGAGACCGUCGUAGUCUUAACCAUAAACUAUGCCAACUGAGGGUGAGUAGUUGUUGUUUUGACAUUAUUUGAACUCCACGGGAAACCAAAGUUUUUGGGUUCCGGGGGGAGUAUGGUCGCAAGGCUGAAACCUAAAGGAAUUGACGGAAGGGCACCACAAGGAGUGGAGCCUGCGGCUUAAUUUGACCCAACACGGGGAAACUUACCAGGUCCAGACAUUGUGAGGAUUGACAGAUUGAAGAUCUUUCUUGAUUCAAUGGGUGGUGGUGCAUGGCCGUUCUUAGUUGGUGGAGUGAUUUGUCUGGUUAAUUCCGUGAACGAACGAGACCUCAGCCUGCUAACUAGUCGCCCGAAUCCUUCGGGAUACGAUUGGUGACUUCUUAGAGGGACUGUCGGUGUGGAGCCGAUGGAAGUAUGAGGCAAUACAGGUCUGUGAUGCCCUUAGAUGUUCUGGGCUGCACGCGCGCUACACUGCUGGAUUCAACAAGCAUUCAACCUUGGCCGGAAGGUCUGGGUAAUCUUUGAAUGUCCAGCGUGAUGGGGCUAGAUUAUUGCAAUUAUUAAUCUUAAACGAGGAAUUCCUAGUAAACGCAAGUCAUCAGCUUGCAUUGAUUACGUCCCUGCCCUUUGUACACACCGCCCGUCGCUCCUACCGACGAAUGAUCCGGUGAAAUCUCCGGACCGUCAAGCAAAGCAAUGGGGCUCCGGCUUCGACUUUGCAUCUGAUGGGAAGUUGAUUAAACCUUAUCAUUUGGAGGAAGGAGAAGUCGUAACAAGGUU